rnacentral:rRNA from 1 species
GUACACGCUGUGACUAGCAUAUCAAUAAGCGGAGGAAAAGUAUACCUACGCUUAGGAUGUUGACAGCAGUAUAGACUGUACACGCUGUGACUAGCAUAUCAAUAAGCGGAGGAAAAGAAACUAACAAGGAUUCCCCUAGUAACGGCGAGUGAAGCGGGAAGAGCUCAAAUUUGAAAUCUUAAAGGGUUUCCCUUUACGAAUUGUAGUUUAAGGAAGCGUUUUCUGUUGAGGUUUUGGUAAAAGUUCUUUGGAAUAGGACAUCAUAGAGGGUGAGAAUCCCGUAUUUGACCUUUACUUUCAACUUUGUGAUACACUUUCAAAGAGUCGGAUUGUUUGGGAAUGCAGUCCAAAAUGGGUGGUAAAUUUCAUCUAAAGCUAAAUAUUGGCGAGAGACCGAUAGCGAACAAGUACCGUGAGGGAAAGAUGAAAAGAACUUUGAAAAGAGAGUUAAACAGUACGUGAAAUUGUCAAAAGGGAAGCGUUUGACACCAGUGUUGUUUUUCUGAAAAUCAAUUAAAGAACUGUUUAUGCUAAGUUGUUUAGACUUUAUCAGCUAACUGUUUAGUUUUGAGCUUUUCUUUAAUGCACUUUUCAGUUAACAAGUCAACAUCAAUUUCUUUUGCUGUAAAAAAGCUUGAGGAAGGUGGCUUGAGAUUCGUCUUAAGUGUUUAUAGCCUCUUGCCUAUGCAGUCGGAGAGAUUGAGGUCUGCAGCGUAGAUCCUUCGGGGCUAAAUGCAUUUGUGCUAAGUUAUAGCAUUUCAUAGACAACUUGUUGACUAUGAUUUGUCUUGUAGCUUACUCGCUUAUGUUAUUUUACCUACGCUUAGGAUGUUGACAGCAGUAUAGACUGU